rnacentral:rRNA from 1 species
UGGGGAAUCAUGGUCAAUGGGCGAAAGCCUGAACCUGCGACGCCGCGUGAGUGAUGAAGGUCGUAAGAUCGUAAAACUCUUCAGGGAUCUUAAAGCCUGUCUGUCAACAACAGGCAGGUCUGACUCUCCCUGGAAGAAGCCCCAGCCAACUACGUGCCAGCAGCUUCGGUAAUACGUAGGGGGCGAGCGUUAUUCGGAAUUACUGGGUGUAAAGGGUAUGUAGGCGGCCCUUCAAGUCGCGUGUCAAAGUCCAGUGCUCAACGCUGGGUGUGCACGCGAUACUGACGGGCUUGAGGGCUGGAGAGGUGAGCGGAAUUCCCGGUGUAGUGGUAAAAUACGUAGAGAUCGGGAGGAACACCAGCGGCGCAGGCGGCUCACUAGACAGUUUCUGACGCUAAGAUACGAAAGCGUGGGGAGCAAACA